rnacentral:rRNA from 1 species
GACGAACGCUGGCGGCGUGCUUAACACAUGCAAGUCGAGCGGUAAGGCCCUUUCGGGGGUACACGAGCGGCGAACGGGUGAGUAACACGUGGGUGACCUGCCCUCAGCUCUGGGUAAGCCUGGGAAACCGGGUCUAAUACCGGAUAUGACUCCAUGACGCAUGUUGUGGGGUGGAAAGCCUUGUGCGGCUGAGGAUGGGCCCGCGGCCUAUCAGCUUGUUGGUGGGGUGAUGGCCUACCAAGGCGACGACGGGUAGCCGGCCUGAGAGGGCGACCGGCCACACU